ACACCGAGUACGGGUACGUGCCCAGCCCGCCGAGGAUGCCGCUGACGCUCGCCAUGCAGAGGAUCGACCCUCCUGCUCCUCCUCCUCCUCCUCCUGCCCCCGCGGGCGCCGCCGCCAGCAUGGCGCGCGCGGCGUGCUUGAUCCCGGCCAGCGUCCCGCGCACGUUCACGGACAUGACGGAGUCGAACUGCGCCAGGUCCAGGCUGGCGACCCGCGACGUGCCUGGGGUCAGCGGGCCCACUACGCCGGCGCUGUUGAGCAUGACGUCCAGCCGGCCGUGGCGCGCCACGGCGGCGUCCACGGCCGCGGCGACGCUGUCCUCGACGGC
rnacentral:misc_RNA from 1 species